AGACUUUCUAGACUCCAAAGUAGCUGCAAAUUACACCAGACUCAACAGACUUUACAAAAAUGGUCAUCGAUCAAAUAAACCUACCAAAAUGAAAUAUGGUCGAGACUUGAAUCUACUAACAGCUUGCUACUCAGCUGCCUGCGAACCUGGAAAAAUAAAUAAAUAAACAACAUGAAGUGGUAAAUCACAAAGACUUAGUAAGGAAACAACAACUACCAUCAACUAGAAAAGAAACACAAAAAUGCACGAAUAAUUGUUUUACAAUCUUGUGCCGAUUAUGUUGUUCAGAUAGAAAUAUUAAAAAUUCAAUUAAUAGUGAAGCAAAAUCAAAAUAAAUAACCUUAAAAUCAUCAUAAAAAUAAAGAAGUAAAAAUACAAAUUAUUGAGAACCAAGAGACGACUUCAUCUCAUUGAUAGCCCCUUCCUCUUGGCAUUUCCCUUAGGGGUAGCUCCAUCUAAUGGAUAGCCCUCUCCUCUCAAUCCUGCAACGCAUCAAUUAGGGAGCUUACAACUCGUUGAUAGCCCUCUCCUCCUACGGAUGACAUUUCUUAUAGGGGCGGCUCCAUCAAACGGUAAGUCUUCCUAAACAAAACGAAGUAACUAGGUGCACCUAACGUCGUUAACGAUUUCCCAAACACGUAUUUAAAAUCAUUUCUCAUUUCAUCGUAAUUCAUGAAAAACAUAUUCAAUCACAUAACAAUUCAAUAUUUAAAUACUUUUAACUCAUACGUAAAUGAAACUAAUAACAUAUUAUAUAACAGACCAUUAAAAUAAAUAAAUGAUGAAAUCUAGAUAAAUUUCAAAUGUUGUGUUUUCCAAAUUUUUAAAUAAAUACUUAACAUAGAAAAUGAGUAAAAUAAUAAUUAUAGCAUUAUAAAAAUAUAUGACGAUGACUGUCGUCAACUUACAACUAUGAAGAAUCGACUACUUUUGUUCUCCAACAGCUCCUACAGUAGCCAACAGGACCUCAGCUGUCAAAUCUGAGUAUCAAAAAUAUUUUCAAAACUUUAUAAAAAUUAUUCUAAAGUUUAGCUAGCUCUAGAAAACCAUAAAAAUUAUUUAAAUCUACUCUAAGCACAAAAUAAGAUUUAUAAACAAAAUUACAUUUUUUUAAAAUUUUUUACUAGCUUUUAGAGUUGUGUAUUUACCUUAAAGAAUAUCAAUAAACAACUCUUAAGAUGGAUACCCUUCUUCUUUCUUAGAACAUAAACUCUAAGUCAAAAAUUAUUACCAAGAACUUGUGAAAAUACGAGGAAGCUUGUUUAGGGAAUGUAUAUCAUUUCCAUGAGUUUAUUGUCACUUUAAAUGAGAGGAAGAAAAAAAAGAA
rnacentral:lncRNA from 1 species